GCUAUGCGGGCGGGGAAGGUGGUUGAAGAAUGCCUUGCAUGGCUAAACAAAGAGUUUUCUAGCUGAAGAAUAUGUUCAUUAAAAGUAGUUAAACCUACGCCCCGGUUUGUCAUUAUACAAGGAACAAACAUAACAUGGUGUUAGAUUGGUAGUCGCUAUGACGAGACAGAGAAAAGAAAGGAGUAAUUGCAAAUUCCCGUGACGAAAAUUGAACAUUCUAACACAAGUCAAGUGACGUGAGUAGUCGAAGAUGCUAGCUUGCAAGAGCGAGGGCAACGAGCCACAGCUGCGAGAGUGACAGCAGCGAGAGCAAGGCUGCAUUGGGAUCUGUUGACAAUCAAGUUGAUGAGCAACAUACUGAAGACUCAGUCACAGCAGCUCUUCCCUUACCUCUUCAAUGAAGAUCCCAGAGGAGCUACAUUAUGUACAAGCACAAUUAAGGCAGUGUGGAAGGACCACCAGAGGACAGGCCGGGCU
rnacentral:lncRNA from 1 species